UGGGGAAUUUUGGACAAUGGGGUAAACCCUGAUCCAGCCAUCCCGCGUGUGCGAUGAAGGCCUUCGGGUUGUAAAGCACUUUUGGCAGGAAAGAAACGUCAUGGGUUAAUACCCCGUGAAACUGACGGUACCUGCAGAAUAAGCACCGGCUAACUACGUGCCAGCAGCCGCGGUAAUACGUAGGGUGCAAGCGUUAAUCGGAAUUACUGGGCGUAAAGCGUGCGCAGGCGGUUCGGAAAGAAAGAUGUGAAAUCCCAGAGCUCAACUUUGGAACUGCAUUUUUAACUACCGGGCUAGAGUGUGUCAGAGGGAGGUGGAAUUCCGCGUGUAGCAGUGAAAUGCGUAGAUAUGCGGAGGAACACCGAUGGCGAAGGCAGUCUCCUGGGAUAACACUGACGCUCAUGCACGAAAGCGUGGGGAGCAAACAGG
rnacentral:rRNA from 1 species